rnacentral:misc_RNA from 1 species
CCGAGUUCUAAACUCCCAAACCCCUGUGAACAUACCUAUCGUUGCCUCGGCGUAUGCGCCCCGGGCCCCCCGGGCACCGGAACCCGGCGCCGCCAAAGGACCUAAACUCUUGUAUUAGUACGUAUUCUGAGUGACACAAGCAAAUAAAUCA